AAGACAAGUAUAAAUAUGGCCAAAAUCAAGUACACCUUUUAGGGUGCGCUCGACUUUAGUGACUCAGCACGAGGUGUUUUGGAAUUUACAGGAUACUUAGAACUUUUUGUAAAAAAUAAACACUAGCACAUCAUAGAAAAUCAAGUGAGUAAUUUAUGUUUCAAAUUUUAUAACAGAAAUCUCUGUAUUAAAGGCUGUGGAUUUUCUAUAAAAAUCUUGAUUUAUUUGCCACAAAGUCCUCUUUUUCUAUCAAAUGCA
rnacentral:lncRNA from 1 species